rnacentral:lncRNA from 1 species
CAUUCAGAUCAUGGCAGAACUGUCACAGAUGUUACUUUGUGAAAACACAAAGAAUAAUGUGUUUGGAGAGAUCAGUCUUCAAUUAGCUAUAUUUUCUAGGAGCCUACCUUUACUUAGCCUCACAACAUGGGCCUUAGCUUUAGCACUUAAUCUGCACAAAUACCUGGCUUAAGUGUUAUGACUGACUGGCUAUUCAACCAAACCAUACAAAUGACCAAUUCGGUAAGAAAGCAUGAACUUCAGUGUUGAACCAAAUCAACCAACCUCCUCAAUCCAAAUGAACAAUGCUAUUCUAGGAGUCUGUGCUAGAAUAAAAUCCUAAUGCAAAGGCUGUCUUAAAAUGCUGAACCCAGAAGAAUUUGGCAUAAAUAAGACAUGGAGUUAGCUGACAUGAGAUAUUACAUUUAUUCCACUGUUGACGAGGACAAAACUGGGCCGCUAUUGUCACAGGAGAGGAUAACAAAGGAAGCUGAGGAAGUCUGUUCUGGAGGCACCAUGACAAAGCACCAGACAGAAAGCAGUCACGUGUGGGGAGAUGAGCAGAGACACCACUUCUCAAGCACCUGAUUAUUCUUUCUCAGUAUUUAGAAGCAAAAAUUAUCCUUAAGAAAAACAACCGCAAACGCAACACAGGCUACACAGAUGAGAAAAUGGGAUUUCAAGAGAGAAGGCUGAAAAGGAAGGUGACUGGAAUAUUAAGAACUGUGAGAUAUUCUGAGGAAACUCUAAUUUGUAAAUUGGUAGAAAUGCCAGUAAUUUGUUGGGAAUUGAAGACCCUCUGUAUUCAAGAGCGAAGCUUGGCAGCUGUGCACUGUUGUUUUAUAAAUCAAUAUUACAUCUGAAGGUGGUGUUUGAAUGUUUGUGUCAUUGGGGUUUGUCUCCAACAUAGUCCUGUGACAAGAAAUGUUCAAACAAAACAAACACAAUCCCUUCCCUGUCCUUUAGGAUAAAGUCCAAACGUAAUUCCACAACAGGGAUAUAACAUUCAAAUCAACUACAGAACUUCUGUAAUUAUAUAAAACCCCACGACCACAGAAAUGCAAUUGAAUUGAAGACACUUUGCAAUAUUCCCCAAGAAAGGACUGUGUGGCUGUCAGAUUAACAAAAGUCAAGAGGUGGUGAGACAAUGCUCACCAUUGCAAAAAAGAGCUUUGUGCAUAAUGAACAGAAUUUGCAUGCCUGUUUAGGAAAUUAAGGUGAAGCCAAGGUGACUUAGGGUC